UUUUUUUUUUUUUUUUUUGCUAAAUUACAUAAACCCUCUGUCAAAACGCGAUUUUUCACUUUCUUCCCGUCAUUUAAAAACCUAUACUUUAUCCCUUUUUAAAAUAAAAAAUAUUUACAUGACGGUACGGUGUGUACUGUGAUGAUAAAAUGACCCUUUUGUCCCUCAUCAUUUUCGUCUUCUCCCUCAUCUUCCUCAACAGCAACCUUGAUCGGCUGCGAAGUUUCUUCGCGGUUCCCACCUCAUCUUCCUCCUGCACCCUCGCCGCCCCUUGAUUUCGGCGACAGUAGGAUGAAAAUCGAGGUGGGGGUGGAUGGAGAGAUGGGUAACGACAACGAGGGCGAAGGCGCGGCGGCGGAGGAGGGCGAAGAGGUGUUUGUGGGCGCGGACGGGGAUGUGGGCGAGGGCGAGGUAGUGGAGGAGGACGAGGCGGCAAGAUGGAGGAAGGCGAAGCAACAAGGAAAAAGGCGGAGGGGUAUUUUGGGCAUAAAAAAAUAUUUAAAAACGAAAUCCUAACGGAUCACUAACGGUAGGAGACGAAGUGCACAUUUUUUAUUAUACAAGGGGGGUAAAAUAUAGAUUUUUAAAUGACAGAAGGAGAAAGUGAAAAAUCGCGUUUUGACAUAGAAAUUUUCUGUAAUUUAGCUUUUUUUUUUUUUUUCCCCUCUUCU
rnacentral:lncRNA from 1 species